AACGAACGCUGGCUGCAUUCCUAACACAUGCAAGUCGAACGAGACCUUCGGGUCUAGUGUCGCACGUGUGCGUAACUCGUGUGAACCUGCCCUUAGGUUCGGACUAACUCCCCGAAAUGGGUUCUAAUACCGUCUUAUGUCUUCGGACCAAAGAUUUAUCGCCUUUUGAUGGGCCCGCGUUGGAUUACCUCGUUGGUAUGUUAAUAGACUACUCAGCCGCCGAUCCAUAGCUGGUCUGUGAGGAGGAUCAGCCACACUGGGACUGAGACACGACCCAGACUCAUACGGAAGGAAGCAGUGAAGAAUAUGGCACAACGGGAGAAAGCAGGAGCCAGCAAUGCGGCGAGAGUGAUGAAGGCCUUAGGGUUGUAAAGCGCUUUUACACGGGAUGAUAAUGACAGUACCGGGAGAAUAAGCUCAGGCUAACUCCGUG
rnacentral:rRNA from 1 species